rnacentral:rRNA from 1 species
ACGGGUGAGUAACACGUGGGAACGUACCCUUUUCUACGGAAUAACCAAGGGAAGCUUGGACUAAUACCGUAUGUGCCCUUCGGGGGAAAGAUUUAUCGGAAAAGGAUCGGCCCGCGUUGGAUUAGCUAGUUGGUGGGGUAAAGGCCUACCAAGGCGACGAUCCAUAGCUGGUCUGAGAGGAUGAUCAGCCACAUUGGGACUGAGACACGGCCCAAACUCCUACGGGAGGCAGCAGUGGGGAAUAUUGGACAAUGGGCGCAAGCCUGAUCCAGCCAUGCCGCGUGAGUGAUGAAGGCCUUAGGGUUGUAAAGCUCUUUCACCGGAGAAGAUAAUGACGGUAUCCGGAGAAGAAGCCCCGGCUAACUUCGUGCCAGCAGCCGCGGUAAUACGAAGGGGGCUAGCGUUGUUCGGAUUUACUGGGCGUAGAGCGCACGUAGGCGGAUCGAUCAGUCAGGGGUGAAAUCCCAGAGCUCAACUCUGGAACUGCCUUUGAUACUGUCGAUCUGGAGUAUGGAAGAGGUGAGUGGAAUUCCGAGUGUAGAGGUGAAAUUCGUAGA